rnacentral:piRNA from 1 species
GUUUUUGGACCUUAGGUCUGACACA